rnacentral:rRNA from 1 species
CCUACGGGUGGCAGCAGUGAGGAAUAUUGGUCAAUGGCCGAAAGUCUGAACCAGCCAAGUAGCGUGAAGGACGACUGCCCUAUGGGUUGUACACUUCUUUUAUAUGGGAAUAAAACAGGGCAUGCAGACCCACUCGUAUGUCCUAUAUGAAUACGGAUCGGCUAACGCCGUGCCAGCAACCGCGGUAAUACGGAGGAUCCGAGCAUGCUCCGUAUUUAUUGGGUUUAAAGGGAGCGUAGGGGGGUUGUUAAGUCUAUUGUGAAAGUUUGCGGGUCAAACCUAGAAUUGCCGUUGAUACUGGCAGUCUUGAGUACAGUAGAGGUGGGCGGAAUGCGUAGUGUAGCGGUGAAAUGCUUAGAUAUUACGAAGAACUCCGAUUGCGAAGGCAGCUCACUGGACUGCAACUGACGCUGAUGCACGAAAGUGUGGGUAUCGAACAGGAUUAGAUACCCGAGUAGUC